rnacentral:rRNA from 1 species
UACGGAGGGGGCUAGCGUUGCUCGGAAUCACUGGGCGUAAAGCGCACGUAGGCGGACUUUAAGUCAGGGGUGAAAUCCUGGAGCUCAACUCCAGAACUGCCUUUGAUACUGAGAAGCUUGAGUCCGGGAGAGGUGAGUGGAACUGCGAGUGUAGAGGUGAAAUUCGUAGAUAUUCGCAAGAACACCAGUGGCGAAGGCGGCUUACUGGUCCGGUUCUGACGCUGAGGCGCGAAAGCGUGGGGAGCAACAGG